CCGAGCGACAUGUAUUCCACGCACAGGCACGCACCAGCACACGCCCACCAGCAUAUACACCGCUACGUCCCAGCAAGAUAGGGAGAAAGACACAGAGAGAGGGAGAGGGAGAGGGAGAGGACGAGAAGGAGACAUGGGUUGCUAUCCCUUGGGCAGGCUCGUGUCCAGAGCGCUCGGAAAAUGCAACGGGCGCGAGAGCGGGUGGCGGGAGGAGAGGAUGGACUACGCCAUGGCCUACCCGCCCGGCCCACCCACGGAGACGCACUACAUGCGGCCAGUGGCGCGCGCGGCCACCGUCAGCUCCGCCAACUCCGUCUACGUGAUCCCGCCUCCUGCAGAGCCGCCGCAUCAGAAAGCCCCCGAGCCGCCGCCGCCGCCGCAGCAGCAGCAGCAGCACCCGGCGCAGCAGCAACCCCAGCAGCAAAAGCCACCCACGCCGGCGCAGGAGGCGCCGCCGGCCGAGCCCAAGCCGCCGAAGCGGGGCAAGAGCAAGAAGUCCGGCCGCGUCCGGUUCGGCCCCGAGCCGCCGCCACAAUCGGAGCAGCAGCAGCAGCAACAGCCGCCGCCGCAGCAGCAGCAGCAAGAACAGACGCCGCAGGCCGCGAACGCCGGCUGCGAGUACGCGCCGGGGCGACACGCCCCGGCGCCGCCGUGGUACUUCCGGUACACGCCGUCCCCGCUGCCGAGGUGGGAGGCGGCGACGCCGAGGCGGCACGAGUACUUCUCCGGCGAGUACCGCUACAGCUACCCGACGCCGGUGCGCGAGGGGAUCUACCGCAUGGCCACCGACGCCAACAGGCUCACCACCAUCUUCAGCGAGGAGAACCCCAACGCCUGCGCGAUCAUGUGAUGCGAGCCAUCCAUCCAUCGAGCAUUCAUCCGAUCGCCGCCGCCGCCGCCGGCGUGAGGAAUAAUCAAGACCCGUACGUACGUACGCACACGCGUUCGCGCGCGCGCCAUUUCGUUCCGUUCCAUCUCGGCCGUCGGUUUGCUGGCUAUCUAAAAUUCGUGCAGGAAUCCAAUUCUCCUUGACCUGUAGGUGUUGUAGAUAAGGACUGCGAAUAGUUUCUGUUUGAUCGCCUGAUUAAUAUGCUGAGACGAACAUUUUCUCUUGCUUUUUCGGGCCUUUCGGCUCUUAUUGCCGUCCCACUUUUUCAGUUUUAAAUUAAAUUCCCAAAGUUGAUAGGAUGUUAGUCAAAAAUCGUGGCUACAGAAUACAGACGAAGAGUUCAUUACAUUAGCAUGGGUUGAUAGUGGUGUUUGUGAGUGAGAACGCAUUGCCGAAGUAUCCCAUGACACUUCAUACAAAAUCUCCUCUUUUUGUUUACCUUUGUAGGUCGUCGAAUUAGCAUCUCGCGUUAACCACUUUUUUUUUUCACUUACAAGUGUCCAAUUCAACCAAGUCCUAGAAUGCUCUAGAAGUAUACACCGUUUGUUCCUUCUCCAAAAAUGUGAGAGUGAUUGGCGAACGUCGUUCAUUCUGCCUCAACCGUGGAAAAACCAGUGGCCGUUCACUACAACUACGCGACCGUGCGCGCUCGGCGGCGAGCUUCACCUCGCCGGAGUACGUUGCGUCGAGUCAACGCUGGGUGCUCAUCACCGUCCCGUAUCACAUCAAAC